rnacentral:misc_RNA from 1 species
UGGAGAGACUUCGAGAGGAGAGGCGGGGCGGGAAUGUGGAGGGGAAUCCAUGGUCGAUUGGAGAAGAGAUGGAAAUGUAGGGGGAUUUAGGGUUUUCGUGAUGAGAGCGCUGGUGGAGAAGAUGGGAGAGAGACGGCGGGAAUGCCGGAAAGAAUGAAGGUUGAAGGGCGGUCGUGGGGUUCAAGAGUCGGGAAGUGGAGGUGGUGGGAAUGGCCUUCGCUGAAAAUGAAUUUGAAUCGGGUUGUAGGAGACUGCAUAAGGGGAAAAUGAUUUAUGCAUAACCUGUGCACUCUUUUGUACAUGUUUCAAAAGGAUUUAAAUUUCAGAGAAAUGCUUAUGCACAAGUGCAUAGGUUAUGCACUGUCCUUAUGCAUGUUUCGGUGACCCUGAAAUGG